AGCAAGCAUUCGCUGGAACAAUCUUACGUUGUCCGAAAGGACGGCAGCCCCAAUUAGGGUGGGAUCGUAAGACCAGGGGCUUGCUAAGGU
rnacentral:sRNA from 12 species